GACGUAGGGCGCGAGCGUUGUUCGGAUUCAUUGGGCGUAAAGGGUGCGUAGGUGGCGCCGUAAGUCAGGUGUGAAAUCUCGGGGCUCAACCCCGAAACUGCACUUGAUACUGCGGUGCUCGAGUACUGGAGAGGAGAUUGGAAUUUACGGUGUAGCAGUGAAAUGCGUAGAUAUCGUAAGGAAGACCAGUGGCGAAGGCGGGUCUCUGGACAGUUCCUGACGCUGAGGCACGAAGGUCAGGGGAGCAAACGGG
rnacentral:rRNA from 1 species